UACGUAGGCAGCGAGCGUUGUUCGGAGUUACUGGGCGUAAAGGGUGUGUAGGCGGUUGUUUAAGUUUGGUGUGAAAUCUCCCGGCUCAACUGGGAGGGUGCGCCGAAAACUGGAGGCUAGAGUGCGGGAUGGGAGAGUGGAAUUCCUGGUGUAGCGGUGAAAUGCGUAGAUAUCUGGAGGAACACCGGUGGCGAAGGCGGCAUCCUGGACCGGUAUUGACGCUGAGGCGCGAAAGCCAGGGGAGCAAACGGG
rnacentral:rRNA from 1 species